CACAAAUUAAAAUAUGAAGGCUUCGGCUGGAUUAUUUUUAUCACCCUUGUCUUUUGCGCACUUGUUGUUUCCUGGGCGGGUUCGCCCGCCACCAGGACCACACCAUAAACCUUUUUUAUGCAGUUGCAAUCAGCAUCAGUAUAACAAAUGUAAAUCAUUUA
rnacentral:misc_RNA from 1 species